GACGAACGCUGGCGGCGUGCUUAAUACAUGCAAGUCGAGCGAGGCCCAUCCAGUGGCAACACUGGGGAAGGCCGAGCGGCGAACGGGUGAGUAACACGUGAGCAACCUGCCCCGAAGUCUGGAAUAACAUCGGGAAACCGGGUAGCUAAUACCGGAUUNCCCCACCCUGACCGCAUGAUCGGGUGAGGAAAGAUCUAUCGCGUUC
rnacentral:rRNA from 1 species